GUUACCAAAGCCCCCCAAUCUCUUGAACCAAAAUCCCCUACAACAACCCAGGGGAGCGGAGCUUACCUUAGGAGGUCGGGACAAGCUUCUUCCAAGUUAUAGAUCUCCUCAAGGGCCACUGCCUUGGACCUGCGGAAGAACGGGAGGAUUUUCCUGUAACAAAAAAAAAAUAAAAAAAUAAAAAUCCCCUACAACCAAAAAUCCCUAAUCUCUUCUUACGGCUCUCUCUCUCUCUCCGGCGAGCGGCGGCAGAUGACGACAUCGAGCAGCGUGCGACGAAUACGAAGUUCCUCAUUUCUUCUCUCUCCUUCUAGACCCUUCGAAGCCUCCUCGCCUUCCAAGUUCGUACAAAACACCGCAGUUUCAUCCGAGUACGAGCAAGAACAGGACCUAUUAAGCGAUGCAGAGGAACCCAGUGUUUGGAGGAAGGGGCAGAGGAUUUUAUAGUGAAACCUGUUAAAUGAUCGGACGUGAAACGUUUGAAAGAUAAGUCUUCGAUGAUGAUGAUGUUCAUGUUCUUGUAAAGUCCCUGCAGUGGAUGGUGGAAGGAGAGCUAUGCAAUAUCUAGGAUUGGAUGAUGAGGAAAAGAGCUGCGUUGGGAGAGUGAUUUGGUUGAAUUGGAGACUACAGUGGAACCCGCAUGGCCAAAGUUGGUUGAGCCGUUGGAGAAGAUCCUAGACCGACUAUGGAUUGUUUGGGGGAUUGUGAAUCAUCUGAAUGCUGUCAAGGACUCUCCUGAACUCCGUUCUGCCAUCACAGAAGUUCAGCCAGAGAAGGUUGAGUUUCAGCUAAGGUUGGGCCAGAGCUAGUAGGCCGG